rnacentral:tRNA from 1 species
GCCCCAGUAGCUCAGUCGGCAGAGCACCUGCCUUUUAAGCAGGGUGUCCGCGGUUCGAAUCCGCGCUGGAGCACCA